GUGCCCUGCGCGCCGCCCGCCUGAGGGGCGGCCCGGGAGCACCGGGAGUAGCGGGAAUAGCGGGAGCUUUCCGGGCACACACCGGCAGCUCCGGGCACAGCCCGCCGGCCACGAAGGCCAGGCACACCGGGCGCAUCAGCAGUGGCGCCGGGCACGCCGGGUGUCGCCGAGCACCGGGAAGACGAGGCACCGCGGGUACCCCACACCGGCCCUGGCCUCCCGCAGGCACCGGGCUCUGUGGUGCUUUCCGAGUGUCCCUCCCCAGGAAUCCCUUCCCGGGACAGCUGUGUUUUACUGGCCUUCCUUGCAAUAUCAUUGCUUGAUACUAGAGUGGAAAGAAGUCCCAGCUGCCAGCACGGCUGAACGGAUGUUGGAGAACAACUUGUGAAAGAACGAAACCCAAAUUAUAUUCUCUUCAAAGAUAUUAUCACUUUGUCAUUAAUGUAAUAUGGGGCUUGUUUAUCAGUGACCUCACAUUCUUCAGCACCAGUUGAGAACCUGCUGAAGGACCAGACAGUUGGAAUGACUGUCUUUAAUU